rnacentral:rRNA from 1 species
GGUAAGCGCGGGCCUGCGGCGGCGGGAAUACGUGGGGAGCUAGGGUUGUUCGGAAUUACUGGGCGUAAAGCGCACGUAGGCGGCUACUCAAGUCAGAGGUGAAAGCCCGGGGCUCAACCCCGGAACUGCCUUUGAAACUAGGUAGCUAGAAUCUUGGAGAGGUCAGUGGAAUUCCGAGUGUAGAGGUGAAAUUCGUAGAUAUUCGGAAGAACACCAGUGGCGAAGGCGACUGACUGGACAAGUAUUGACGCUGAGGUGCGAAAGCGUGGGGAGCAAACAGGAUUAGAUACCCUUGUAGUC